rnacentral:rRNA from 1 species
CCUACGGGUGGCAGCAGUGAGGAAUAUUGGUCAAUGGCCGGAAGGCUGAACCAGCCAUGCCGCGUGAAGGUCAGUGCCCUAUGGGCGUUAAACUUCUUUUGUUCGGGAACAAUAAUGGUCACGUGUGGCCAGACGAGAGUACCGUACGAAUAAGCAUCGGCUAACUCAGUGCCAGCAGCCGCGGUAAUACGGGGGAUGCAAGCGUUAUCCGGAUUUAUUGGGUUUAAAGGGUGCGUAGGCUGUGAGGUAAGUCAGCGGUGAAAUGCCCCCGCUCAACGGGGUGAAGUGCCAUUGAUACUGCCUGGCUGGAAUGCGGAUGCCGUGGGAGGAAUGUGUGGUGUAGCGGUGAAAUGCAUAGAUAUCACACAGAACACCGAUUGCGAAGGCAUCUCACGAAGCCGCGAUUGACGCUGAUGCACGAAAGCGUGGGUAUCAAACAGGAUUAGAUACCCGAGUAGUC